rnacentral:rRNA from 1 species
UACGAAGGGGGCUAGCGUUGUUCGGAAUCACUGGGCGUAAAGCGCACGCAGGCGGAUUGAUAAGUCGGGGGUGAAAUCCCGGGGCUCAACCUCGGAAUUGCCUUCGAUACUGUCUGUCUUGAGUCCGGGAGAGGUGGGUGGAAUUCCUAGUGUAGAGGUGAAAUUCGUAGAUAUUAGGAAGAACACCAGUGGCGAAGGCGGCUUCCUGGACCAAUACUGACGAUCAGGUGCGAAAGCGUGGGGAGCAAACAGG